rnacentral:lncRNA from 1 species
UGAACACAUAUUUCACAACCAUUGAUAAUAUGGUAAUAAGAAUACACACAUAUAUAUUGUUCACACGUUCAAACACGAGUCAAUCUACACAAAGCAAAGUUUGGCUAUCUUGGCAACCAUCCAGAAAACAAAAGUCACAUUAAAGGACCCCUAUUUGCUGGUCUAAAAUAGUUCAAACACUAAAUGGUCCAAAACACUUGAGUCACAUCCAUGAGCACAAGAUUUCUACUCCAUAAUACUUGAGCACCAAAUGGUCCAGAACACACAUACGUUCAUGAUUACAAUUAAGAUUGCUGGUCCAAAAUACUGUAGACAGCCAAAUGCUCCAUAACACUUCCAAGCCAUCACAUCCAUGCAUACUAGGUUGCUGAUUACGUGAAAAUACCCCACAAGAAUUUGGUAGAAAGUGGAGUCAGCUCAAGUGCUUUGAAGCUCGUAGGGAAAUUGGCAGCCAAGAGAAGCACAAGAAUUAAGUAUUUAUGACAUAUGUCCAUAACACACAUAACAUAGUUCUGUCAUACAUGAGGUAAGAUAUUUAUAAAAUGAUAAAAGGAAUCAUCAUGCAGACAUAUCUACAUAUAUAUAGAAUAUGCAUUUUUCCAUGGCAGACAAAUCUACAAAUUUUAUUCAACAUCUUACAUGCAACAAACUGUAGUAGGAUCAGCCAAUCUGAAGUUGUAUUUGUUCUACUACAAAGUUAGCUGAUGUAAUCUUCAAAGUUUGAAAAUAAUUGUGUUUGUACGUUAUCUGAUGAAGUAGAACGGAAAUGUACAACUUCUGACCCCAAAAACUGUAGUAUGUGAAGUUCAGUUUAUGCCAUGUGAUCUUCAGAUUGUGACCACCAAAGGGAUAACACCAAACUGAUUUGUGUAUGUUAACUCCUAUAAGCAAUGUAUGUGCGCUUCAGAUCAUGUUGUGUUAUUUUCAUAUUUUUUAUUAUAAACUGCAGUAUGUGGAGUUCAGUUUUAUGAACAAGAUACAAAAUGUUAUCUAGUAAUGCUAUAGGUUCAGGCAGAAAUGUCGCGCUUUAGUCAAGGCUCAAAAUGAUCUAGGUAUAUUUCUAAGAGAGAAACAAUAAACUUAAUGUAUGUAUUAUGUUGUAGUACCUGCACCUCCUGGUACAUUAGUUGCCAUCUUGUCAUCCUUCAUCUACAACAAUAACCAUUACUUAAUAGAAAUAAAUGUUGCCUUCUUAUCAGUUUUUUUCUAGAAUAAUCCUUAUCAGUUUGAGGCUGCUUCUUUCACUGCAAAUUGCUCUGAAAAAAUGUGUAGACAUGUAUCAACCAUCCUGCAAAAAAAAGAAAAUGUGUUCAAUAUAGAUAAAUCGGCUUCCGAAAUCAAAUCAUAAAGUAAAGGCCAAAGGUCUGCAAGUUAUUUUCAUAUUGUGUUAUUUUCAUAUUUUUUAUUAUAAACUGCAGUAUGUGGAGUUCAGUUUUAUGAACAAGAUACAAAAUGUUAUCUAGUAAUGCUAUAAGUUCAGGCAGAAAUGUCGCGCUUUAGUCAAGGCUCAAAAUGAUCUAGGUAUAUUUCUAAGAGAGAAACAAUAAACUUAAUGUAUGUAUUAUGUUGUAGUACCUGCACCUCCUGGUACAUUAGUUGCCGUCUUGUCAUCCUUCAUCUACAACAAUAACCAUUACUUAAUAGAAAUAAAUGUUGCCUUCUUAUCAGUUUUUUUCUAGAAUAAUCCUUAUCAGUUUGAGGCUGCUUCUUUCACUGCAAAUUGCUCUGACAAAAUGUGUAGACAUGUAUCAACCAUCCUGCAAAAAAAGAAAAUGUGUUCAAUAUAGAUAAAUCGGCUUCCGAAAUCAAAUCAUAAAGUAAAGGCCAAAGGUCUGCAAGUUAUGUACUUGGUUAGUAUAAUGAAUGAACUUGUCAAAAGAACAAAUAUUAUGCCAACAACCAGAAUGAACACGAACAUCUCAUAUAAGUAUUGAAUGUCUGAAUCCUGAAAUUAUCUAGCCACUGCACCAAGGUGGCGGACUCUACAAUUUGAAUUCACAUGUCCAAGCAAUGCGGUGUGAGGCACUAUGAGAAGGUGCCUCUAAGGUUUGAAUGUGAUCGGAACUUGCAAUUCUCCCCGCUGGAAACCAUAUGCAGCUUCAAGUAGUUGAAGGUAUGUGGAUGUAGAGGAAGAUGAGAGUAUAUGUUGAGCCUAAGGUUUGAAUGCUAAUGCCAUAUUCAUGCAAAAGGAAAACAACACCGUGCUCACAUAAAAAAAUUAUAUCAAAAGAUGACACUGUUAUUCAUAAAUAUUAUGUGUAGAUGACGAUGUAAUUCAAAAGUGAUGGAGAAUAAAAUUGGAAUGUGCCUCCUUAAACAUUGACUGGACUUUGGGUCCACCUCGGCGCCCUCCGCUCGCCCACCUCUCGUCCUUGCUGCCAGGUAGUAUCGCGUACUCGCCGCCCUGCAAGCUCACCAUCAUGUACACCCGCUC